rnacentral:rRNA from 1 species
AACGAACGCUGGCGGCAUGCCUAACACAUGCAAGUCGAACGAGACCUUCGGGUCUAGUGGCGCACGGGUGCGUAACGCGUGGGAACCUGCCCUUAGGUUCGGAAUAACUCAGAGAAAUUUGAGCUAAUACCGGAUAAUGUCUUCGGACCAAAGAUUUAUCGCCUUUGGAUGGGCCCGCGUAGGAUUAGCUUGUUGGUGGGGUAAUGGCCUACCAAGGCGACGAUCCUUAGCUGGUCUGAGAGGAUGAUCAGCCACACUGGGACUGAGACACGGCCCAGACUCCUACGGGAGGCAGCAGUGGGGAAUAUUGGACAAUGGGCGAAAGCCUGAUCCAGCAAUGCCGCGUGAGUGAUGAAGGCCUUAGGGUUGUAAAGCUCUUUUACCAGGGAUGAUAAUGACAGUACCUGGAGAAUAAGCCCCGGCUAACUCCGUG